rnacentral:lncRNA from 1 species
AACUUUUUGAUGAUGUUCAGAGCAUUUUAUUAUUUAACCUAAUGCCACAUAAGAAUCGCUAAUCAUAUAUAUAUAUAUAACUUGGUAUAUAAUAGAUAAGAAUGAAAAAGGAUUUUUAAUCUUGUGAGAUGUAAUAAAAAACUAGUAAACAAUAGACAACUAACAAAAGUUGGGUUGUGCAGUAACUGCCGGUAAAGUGGAGAAGCUUGGAAAAACUUUAAACAAAAAAUUGCGGUUAGAGAGAGAGAUAGAGCCGUCCAAAAACAAGGCGUAGAUGUCUAUCCCACGCGCAAUCAAACCCUCUUGCUACAUCUCAAUCUUCUUCUUCUCCCUCUCCUUAUAUCAUCAUUUUGCACCC